rnacentral:rRNA from 1 species
AGUGAACGCUGGCGGUAGGCCUAACACAUGCCAGUCGAACGGCAGCACAGUAAGAGCUUGCUCUUACGGGUGGCGAGUGGCGGACGGGUGAGGAAUACAUCGGAAUCUACUUUUUCGUGGGUGAUAACGGAGGGAAACUUACGCUAAUAGCGCAUACGACCUACGGGUGAAAGCAGGGGAUCUUGGGACCUUGCGCGAUUGAAUGAGCCGAUGUCGGAUUAGCUAGUUGGCGGGGUAAAGGCCCACCAAGGCGACGAUCCGUAGCUGGUCUGAGAGGAUGAUCAGCCACACUGGAACUGAGACACGGUCCAGACUCCUACGGGAGGCAGCAGUGGGGAAUAUUGGACAAUGGGCGCAAGCCUGAUCCAGCCAUGCCGCGUGGGUGAAGAAGGCCUUCGGGUUGUAAAGCCCUUUUGUUGGGAAAGAAAAGCAGCAGGUUAAUACCCCGCUGUUCUGACGGUACCCAAAGAAUAAGCACCGGCUAACUUCGUG